ACAUAUGUAGUGAAAAUCUAGAAACUACGGUUAGAUAAAAAGAAAUGAACGAUUCGUCCAUGUCAUCACGGGUAAAAAUUUUACUUAUAGAUUUACUCAUGGUGACAUGCACGAAACUCAAACAUUCAUUUUUUAUUCAAUGGUAGUUUUCAGAUUUUCAUUAUAUAUGU
rnacentral:misc_RNA from 1 species